rnacentral:rRNA from 1 species
CCUACGGGGUGCAGCAGUGAGGAAUAUUGGUCAAUGGACGAGAGUCUGAACCAGCCAAGUAGCGUGAAGGAUGACUGCCCUAUGGGUUGUAAACUUCUUUUAUAUGGGAAUAAAAUGUUCCACGUGUGGGAUUUUGUAUGUACCAUAUGAAUAAGGAUCGGCUAACUCCGUGCCAGCAGCCGCGGUAAUACGGAGGAUCCGAGCGUUAUCCGGAUUUAUUGGGUUUAAAGGGAGCGUAGGUGGAUUGUUAAGUCAGUUGUGAAAGUUUGCGGCUCAACCGUAAAAUUGCAGUUGAAACUGGCAGUCUGGAGUACAGUAGAGGUGGGCGGAAUUCGUGGUGUAGCGGUGAAAUGCUUAGAUAUCACGAAGAACUCCGAUUGCGAAGGCAGCUCACUGGACUGCAACUGACACUGAGGCUCGAAAGUGUGGGUAUCAAACAGGAUGAGAUACCCGGGUAGUC